GAUGUUAAACACAGGGGGCGACCAGGUUUCUCCAUCAAACCCCAAAUCUCCCAAAAUUCACAAAUUGAAGCCUCUAAUCUGCUCCAAAUCAAGUUUCAAGCAUGAAUUAGUGAUCAUCUCGUUGCGGGGAUCAAAAGUUUGACGCGUAACAAGCUAGGUGGAAGCUUGAUGAGGGAACGGGUCAAACGAAUCAAGAAGGAAAGGAAAAAAACAUAGUUCGGACACGAGGUAAGUAUAUCUUACACUAGUCAUAUAUUUCAUAAUAUCCUUUUGUCGUAUUACGAAAAAGAUAAUUUAUGACGUAAGCCAUAGUAGGCUAAAAAGUGUUAAGAAAUGGAAUUAUAUGUAAGUGACCGCACGGUGUAAAUCAGAGCGAGUCAUAUAUAUAUAUGAGGUGGUAAUAAAUAUCAUCUCGCUAAUAUAAUCGGUCAAUUCGGCCAAACGGGUCAAAAGGUGAAAUUAUCACCCUUUGACAAUAUCGACUAAUGGGUUGUCAAGAUGCAUGAUUUUAGGAAAUAAAUAGCACAUGGAUGCUUACAUCGCUAUCGCUUAGCAGCCACUAAGGAAAGGUAUUGAAACGGGUCAAUAUAUUGAUCCGAGCCAGGUUCUUUUUGGAUGCCGGAAGACGAUCAAGCUCAUCGAAGGAC